UACGUAGGUGGCGAGCGUUGUCCGGAUUUACUGGGCGUAAAGGGAGCGUAGGCGGAUUUUUAAGUGAGAUGUGAAAUACUCGGGCUCAACUUGAGUGCUGCAUUUCAAACUGGAAGUCUAGAGUGCAGGAGAGGAGAAUGGAAUUCCUAGUGUAGCGGUGAAAUGCGUAGAGAUUAGGAAGAACACCAGUGGCAAAGGCGAUUCUCUGGACUGUAACUGACGCUGAGGCUCGAAAGCGUGGGGAGCAAACAGG
rnacentral:rRNA from 1 species